rnacentral:lncRNA from 1 species
ACAGGAGUUUGGAUUCAUUAGGCCUGAGCUUCCCAUUAGAAGCAGAAGGGAUAUGUCCUGGUGACGUUGCGUAACACGUGACCAUUCUACACAGAAGACGCUAUGCGGGAAUAUGCACAUGGGGAACGUGGAGUGUCUGGUACUUUGCCUCCUACUAUGGCUUGCCACUUCCUAUUCAGAAGCAGCAUAUUUUUGAGUAUUGUUGCGGAAAGGCGGCUGCUUCGAUUAGCUAUCAACCAUGGUGAUUUGCUGCAGUGCUUCUAACAGAUACAUGUAUUGUGCAUUCGGGAAUAUCAAGUUCUCUGUGGAUGUAUAUUUCACUGCACGGCCUUAACUUUAAUAAAAGGACAACGAGAAGCUUAACAUGAAUUUUAAAAGCACAAGAUAUAUGCCUAUU